GGCUCCAUGGUCUAGUGGUAUGAUUCAGCCUUUGGGACUCUGCUUGCUCAAAGAUUGGCUGAGGCCUCGGGUUCGAAUCCCGAUGGAGCCC